rnacentral:rRNA from 1 species
CCUACGGGAGGCAGCAGUGGGGAAUAUUGGACAAUGGGCGCAAGCCUGAUCCAGCAAUGCCGCGUGAGUGAUGAAGGCCUUAGGGUCGUAAAGCUCUUUUACCAGGGAUGAUAAUGACAGUACCUGGAGAAUAAGCUCCGGCUAACUCCGUGCCAGCAGCCGCGGUAAUACGGAGGGAGCUAGCGUUGUUCGGAAUUACUGGGCGUAAAGCGUACGUAGGCGGUUAUUCAAGUCAGAGGUGAAAGCCCGGGGCUCAACCCCGGAACGGCCUUUGAAACUAGGUAGCUAGAAUCUUGGAGAGGUCAGUGGAAUUCCGAGUGUAGAGGUGAAAUUCGUAGAUAUUCGGAAGAACACCAGUGGCGAAGGCGACUGACUGGACAAGUAUUGACGCUGAGGUACGAAAGCGUGGGGAGCAAACAGGAUUAGAUACCCUGGUAGUCCACGCCGUAAACGAUGAUAACUAGCUGUUCGGGCACUUGGUGCUUGAGUGGCGCGAGCUACGCAUUAAGUUAUCCGUCCGUCGGGUAGGUACGGUCGCGAGAAGUUAAAACGUUAAAAGGUAAAGUUAGUACGGUCGUGUAGACGUUAGUCCGAACGGACGACGACGAGGGAGGAGG